CAGUAGCCGCGGGAAUACGGAGGGUGCAAGCGUUAUCCGGAUUUAUUGGGUUUAAAGGGUCCGUAGGCGGAUCUGUAAGUCAGUGGUGAAAUCUCACAGCUUAACUGUGAAACUGCCAUUGAUACUGCAGGUCUUGAGUAAAUUUGAAGUGGCUGGAAUAAGUAGUGUAGCGGUGAAAUGCAUAGAUAUUACUUAGAACACCAAUUGCGAAGGCAGGUCACUAAGAUUUAACUGACGCUGAUGGACGAAAGCGUGGGGAGCGAACAGGAUUAGAUACCCGUGUAGUCCCUGUCUCUUAUAA
rnacentral:rRNA from 1 species